AAAUUUUUUUUUAACCCCCUUAUGAUUCAUCACCCCCAAACUCAAUCCCAGCCUUCCCUUUGUGGUAUGGUACCUUGCAGUAAACAUACAUGUGAUGGACUGUGAAACUAAGAUCAGGAGUUUUGGAGAUUAGGACUCAGAUCAGGAUGUUUUUAAUCGACAUUAAUUUUGUUGUAAAUGUAACCGUGUGCUGUAAAAAUGGUCUUUUAAAGUGUGUUUUCUUCAACUUUCCAACCAAUUUAUUAUGUUUAUAGUACCCUUGUACUUUUAAAGUUUCUCCAUCUUUAUAUUCUACAUGUUCAAUCUAACAUUGUUUUUUUCCAGUAUGUUCUUUAAGUUUUUUACUUCAUAUUCUAUAAAACAAUCAUUGCAACCAGAACAUUUGUUUAGCUGUCUGCAAAUAGUUUUUAUUUUUUUUUUUUUUCUCUUGCAAAUAGUUUUUAUUUGCAAACUCAGAAAUUCAUUCUAUCUGUAAAGUUAGGGUCAUAGUUAUUAUAUAAAUUUCAAUUUAAGCCUUAAAAGGAAGUACCGGUAUAGAAUCCUCAAAUAAUUUUCAAAUUAUUAUUUUUUUAUUUGUCCUAAGACAUUUAAAAUCAUUUAAUAACCAUCCUUUUAUGAUUAUUUGUUCAAUUUAUAUUUUAUUUAUAUUCUUUUAAAAAUUUUCAUUAUUAAAAGGAAAGUAACUUAAAACAGGAUAAAUCAAGGGAAGUAACCCAAUAAAUACACAGUUUUUGUUACACAACGGCAGUUAGCCUGAGGUAAAAAUCGUUGCUUACCAGUAUGUUUGACACCCAAGCUGACAAGUGAAGCCAUAUAAUUAUGCAUGUUAAUUGAUUUACAGGUAAAAUAUAACUUCAGGUAAUGUCAGUUACACCAGAUGCCUGAGAUGUUAUGUUGGGCAGAAAUUUUUCAUUCAUGAAAAAUUGCAUACACAGGAUUUUUUCAACGGGAGGGGGGGAGGAGACCCCUGAAAACGGGAUUAUUGUACUCCCGUCGGGAGGUUCACAUGUAUGCCUAUUCAAACCAUAUCAUUAUUAUUUGCUUUUAUAUAUAAAUCAGAAAUAACCAAUUUAAAAUGGAAAAUGUUAAAGAAAAAAAAGGAAAAAAAAAAUCCCCCCCCCAAUUUUU